AGUGAACGCUGGCGGUAGGCCUAACACAUGCAAGUCGAACGGCAGCACAGUAAGAGCUUGCUCUUACGGGUGGCGAGUGGCGGACGGGUGAGGAAUACAUCGGAAUCUACUUUUCGUGGGGGAUAACGUAGAGAAACUUACGCUAAUACCGCAUACGACCUACGGGUGAAAGCAGGGGAUCUUCGGACCUUGCGCGAUUGAAUGAGCCGAUGUCGGAUUAGCUAGUUGGCGGGGUAAAGGCCCACCAAGGCGACGAUCCGUAGCUGGUCUGAGAGGAUGAUCAGCCACACUGGAACUGAGACACGGUCCAGACUCCUACGGGAGGCAGCAGUGGGGAAUAUUGGACAAUGGGCGCAAGCCUGAUCCAGCCAUACCGCGUGGGUGAAGAAGGCCUUCGGGUUGUAAAGCCCUUUUGUUGGGAAAGAAAAGCAGCAGGUUAAUACCCCGCUGUUCUGACGGUACCCAAAGAAUAAGCACCGGCUAACUUCGUG
rnacentral:rRNA from 1 species